rnacentral:rRNA from 1 species
AGGCUCAGUAACACGUCGAUAACUUGCCCUUAAGUCUGGGAUAACCUUGGGAAACUGAGGCUAAAACCGGAUAGGAAAUUAUGUCUGGAAUGAUUUAUUUCUUAAAAGCAAUGCUUAAGGAUAGGUCGGCGGCGGAUUAGGCUGUUGGUGAGGUAACGGCUCACCAAACCGAAGAUCCGUAGAGGUCUUGAGAGAGAUAGCCUCGAGAAGGGCACUGAGAUACUGGCCCUAGCCCUACGGGGUGCAGCAGGCGCGAAACCUUUACAAUGCACGCAAGUGUGAUAAGGGAAUCCAAAGUGCUUUACUUUGUAAGGCUUUUGCCAAGCGUAAAUAGUUUGGCGAAUAAGUGGUGGGAAAGACUGGUGCCAGCCGCCGCGGUAACACCAGCGCCACGAGUGGCGAUCAUGUUUAUUUGGCCUAAAGCGUCCGUAGCUGGUUAAGUAAAUCUCUUGUGAAAUUGUUUCGCUUAACGAAACAGCGUGCAGGAGAGACUGCUUAGCUAGGGACCGGGAGGAGUCAGAGGUAUGCUGGGGGGAGCGGUAAAAUGCAAUAAUCCUCGGUAGACCACCUGUGGCGAAGGCGUCUGACUAGAACGGGUCCGACAGUGAGGGACGAAAGCCAGGGGAGCAAACCGGAUUAGAUACCCGAGUAGUCCUGGCCGUAAACGCUGCGAGCUAGGUGUUGCAUAUUCUUCGUGAAUAUGCAGUGUCGAAGCGAAGGUGUUAAGCUCGCCGCCUGGGAAGUAUGGUCGCAAGACUGAAACUUAAAGGAAUUGGCGGGGGAG